rnacentral:rRNA from 1 species
UACGGAGGGUGCGAGCGUUAUCCGGAAUUACUGGGUUUAAAGGGUGCGUAGGCGGCUAUGUAAGUCAGGAGUGAAAGUUUGCGGCUCAACCGUAAAAUUGCUUUUGAUACUGCAUAGCUAGAAUUAGGAUGAGGUCAGCGGAAUGUGGCAUGUAGCGGUGAAAUGCAUAGAUAUGCCAUAGAACACCAAUUGCGAAGGCAGCUGGCUAGACCUGGAUUGACGCUGAGGCACGAAAGCGUGGGGAUCAAACAGG